UAGAUUGAAGCCAGUAUUAGGGUAUUUAGCUGUUAACUAAAAGUCAUAGGUUUAAUUCCUAUCAAUCUAG
rnacentral:tRNA from 1 species